GGCAGUAUAAAAUGGAAGGACCUGCCGACCGGCUACCAGAACCUGCCCUAUUUUAACAAGGACAUGGAAGUUGGAAUAACUGCACAGAAUUCAGCAGAUGUUUUCGAAAUAAAUCUUCCAAACGAUCAUGACCUGCCAAAGGAUGACCUGCCCAUCGAGUUUGACGUUGAAAACACAGGACUGGACAAUUCUGUCGAGCCAGCCCCCUUACCCCAACAUGAGAUUUUGGCCCUAAGAUUGCUUGCUAUGAGCAAACAGAUUUCAAUGAAUCUGGUCCCUGAGUUACGCGAGUCAGGAGGCUCUAAAUCAGAAGCUGAGCUGUCUAAGUGCACAUCAAUCAUUAAUUCGAUGCUCGCAAGCGUUGGGGAGAUGACUGCAAAUCAACUGAGAACGAAAGAAGCCAAUUAAGAACAACAUCAGAAGAACCGACGACCAAGAACCGAACCGAGUCAAGACUGCGUUUCUGGAACUUUUCCGACGAACAUCCCACACGUUUAUUUAUUCUAAAUUGUCACGUGAUCAAGAAAAAUUGGUUACCUGAACUUUGUUACCUUGUUCAAGACUUCUUAAAAGCUGGCAGAAUUCCCAGCACUUUUAAGACUAAUAAGGCGGAGACGGGAGAGUGCUCCCAGUGAUAUGAAACUGUCAGCCAGCCUGUUACCACCGGUUAAAUUAUGGUGUUUGAAUAUGAACAUGUGUAGUUGCUAAAUGCUACCG